ensembl:misc_RNA Metazoa_SRP Metazoan signal recognition particle RNA
GCUGGGCAUGGUGGUGCAUGCCUGUAGUCCCAGCUACUUGAGAGGCUGAGGCCAGAGGAUCGCUUGAGCCCAGGAGUUUGAGGCUGCAGUAAGCUAUGAUGUGCUACUGCACUCCAACCUGGGUGACAGAGAAAGACCCUGUCUCUU